GCGUGUUUCUGUGGGUUUAUUCAGACGUGUGUAACAGAGCCAGCAGGCAACGUUAGUUAUUAACACAGCCGCCGCUUAGAAACCACUCACAGGGUUAAAUAUUAAGCAGGAAUGGGUCCUCUUCAAGUGGUUUCUCACCGACUUCAGUCCAUUAAGCAGCUGACAAACGAGAAUCAGAAGUCUGGUUUAUUUUAGCAGAAAAAAAUCAUGUUUGGACAAAACAUUACAGCGAGCAAUGGUUCAACUAAUCAUCUGAAUAACUGAGAGGGAGAAACCGAGUGUGCCUAACGUAUUAACCAGCUGAGUUCAAGAUGUUAAAAAGCCAAUGGCUGCUGCAUACAUUACUGUUGAGUGAGUCGGUACUGAGGGUUUUACAAACCAGGAUCAGUCGCUGUUCUAACCUAAAAAUGGACACAACACAACGCCGCAGCAGAGGUCAAAGGGUUCUGGUCCAAAGCCGGGAAAAGGACAAGCAGGGUGGAAGGUGUCACCCUCCGGUGCUUUAUGGCGCCGCCGGCCUUAACGACGUCUAACAAAAUGUCAGCAGCCGACCAAUGAUGCGCCGGCAGCCAAGACAGAGAGAUUUAGUCAAGUGGGAAGUCUUUAAGAGUCAUUUUAGAGAGCAAGAUAAAAGAAUGGGGGAGGGGAGACGAAGCCUCCAGCUCCAGGCCUCCUCCGCCCACUGCUCCGUUCCUCAACCCAGGUGCAUUUGGACUGUCCACGCUGAACCAGCGGCUCGUUCUUUACUUCCUGUGGAGUCAUUCAAUUUAUUAGUCAAAGUCAGUCGCUCCUGAUGUUUAUUUUCUGCUCCAGGUCCAUUUUUAGUCAGUUGUAUAGAACUGUUAGCUUCUGCUUAGUGCAGCGUCUGGUUUCUUCCACUGCUUCCUCUGAAGUUUGAGUUUUAGCCAGCUCCACUGUAAUAAAUCUAGUGUAUGUUCAAAGAGUGACUCGUGUCAUUUGGGUCUGUGUCUGUCAUGGUUUGAGGACAAUCCCAAAUUGACCAGAACACGUUAGUCAGAGUCUAAGCUGAUAGUAAACAAACAUCUGUAAAGACUCUGCCUGAUUUUGUCUGAAGCAGGACCAACAUCCAUCCAUCAGCAGCCAUCAGCUCUAAUGGUUCACUGAUCACUAAAAGCUGAAAUGUUCCCUCUUUAAAUGCUAAUUUUCAUGUGUGUGUUAAUGGUUGUAUGGUAGGCUUGAGUCUGUGUUCUAUAAAUACAUGUGAACAAUUAUUUUCUAGGCAGUGAGGAAAUCCAUCAAUAAUUCCCUUGUUGCUGCAGAAGCACAAAAGCCAAUCAGGAGAAAACAGGGAAUCAUAUUUAUAAACCUUAAACUGCUCACACAGCAAAACGCUGUGUGUGUGUGUGUGUGUGUGUGUGUGUGUGUGUGUGUGGUGACAGAUGUCAAUAACUUUGUUUUUACAUAGAAAGCAACCAGAGACUUAAUUAUCGCUGUGAGCAGCUUUGAACGAAGUGACAAAUGAAGUUUCAACAUUUCGGAGCAAACAAAAUAUGAACCAGCUGCUUCCUGGUAAAUAUGUGAAACAAAUGUGUAAAUACAGCAACUUAAAAAUGUAAUAUCUAUAAUUUUACUCCUUCCAUGAAUCUGAAAGUUUUGUAUUUAAAUGGAAAUAAUAAAAAAAUCUGUACAAUAAAAAACAAAAAAAGCUAAUGAACAAUAAUUGCUGAUGCUGAUACAACAAAAUAAAAAAUAAUUAAAGAUACAUUUUACUCUACAAUCAAAACUAGGAAAUAAACCUGGUAAUGAGACAGAUGCAGCAGGAGUUAAUGGACAACGUCUGCAGCUCGAUGCACCUCCCACCUGUGCAUCUUGUUAUUGUACUUGUUUAUCUGCUGGUUCACACAUGAACAAAGAUUCAUCUUAUUUUUACUUGGGGCUUUGGUUGAGACACGUUUUUAAGCAGUUUAAGAAAUUUUCAUUUCCUGCCCUGUGUAUUUUGGGUUACCCUCUGCUCCUCGGUUGAUCCGAAUCAGAAUCAGAAUCAGAAUCAGCUUUAUUGCCAGGAUAGGUACUGGUAUUUGUACUGGUACUGAUCAUGUACUGGUUAAUAAACUGCACAGAGUGAAAGGUCCAGAAUGUAGAUCUGUGCUCUGAUCAGGAUAAAGAUACUGUCAAAUACUUUUUACAAAAACAAAGUCUUGCAAGUUUUGGAGUCAAGAUCUCAUCUUGACCUCCACAGUUUUCCUGAACUGCCAUGUCUUAAUUACAUUUCUCACUGUGGAAACUGCAAGCUGACAAUGCUUUGCUAUCUUCUUGUAGCCUUUGUCUGCAUUGUGAGCAUCAAUAACUUUCAUGUUUAGAGUCUUAGAAAGCUGUUUAGAAGGACCCAUUGUUGUUGAGGGCUCAAAGUAUAUGUAAAGCUUUGUAAUUGGCAUUCACUAAUGACAGCCAUACAUCAGAGCUAAUGAGCUGAUUAAGGUCUGAAACCUCGGAGGCACAGUGCCACAAUAAUGUUUUUUAUUUUUUUUAUCUUUGUUCAAUCAACACAGAGAGACUGUGUUAACAUCAACAAAAAUCCCCAACAUCUGUUAUUUAUCCAGGGGUGCCUAAACCUUUGCAUAUGACAGUAUAUAUGUGUAUAUAAUGAGUUUUAGAUUUUAUAAACAGAAUCAAAUUAAUAUAAUUUUUAAUAUGAAUGAAUGUAAAAGAGUUGUAAUUUCACCUCACAAAUUCAAACUACUAUCUUUAUUAUCUAAAUCGGCUAACUACUGCAUGCUACCAGCUGCUGAUCCCAGAUGUGUAUCAGCUGUGAUGCAGCCUGCCAGUGCGUCGCUGAGUAGAGGCUUGUGAUAAAGCUGUGUUAAUCAGUAGAAGAAGCUUUGUGGUCGAGACAAAGGAGCCUAAUAGUGGCUUUGUUCCUGUGAGGAUUGCUUUGCUCGUCAUUAAAGACAGUGGACAAGUUCACUUAACCUACUUAACAGGAGGCUCACUGACGAGGAGAAACUGCAAACCGAAUCCUUAUUAUCGUUCUGUUUAUGACGUGACCUACAGUUGCUGCUAUAAGACACAGAUCAGAACUCCCAGUUCCUGAGCUCCCAUUGCUUAAACUUGCUUCUCUUUUCCUUAAAGCCGACCGACGCAUUGGUCCUGAUGCCAUAAGAGAACAUUUUAAAAAACAGCAAAAGCUGGGGGAAAAUAAAACGCUGAUACUGGGGGUUUGUUCCCCAA